GAUGAACGCUGGCGGCGUGCCUAAUACAUGCAAGUCGAGCGAACAGACGAGGAGCUUGCUCCUCUGACGUUAGCGGCGGACGGGUGAGUAACACGUGGAUAACCUACCUAUAAGACUGGGAUAACUUCGGGAAACCGGAGCUAAUCCCGGAUAAUAUAUUGAACCGCAUGGUUCAAUAGUGAAAGACGGUUUUGCUGUCACUUAUAGAUGGAUCCGCGCCGCAUUAGCUAGUUGGUAAGGUCACGGCUCACCAAGGCAACGAUGCGUAGCCGACCGGAGAGGCGGAUCGGCCACCUGGGAACGGAGACGCGGUCCAUACUCCUACGGGAGGCAGCAGUAGGGAAUCGUCCGCAAUGGUCGAAAGCCUGACGGAGCAACGCCGCGUGAGUGAUGAAGGCGUUGGGAUCGUAAUAAUCGGUUAUGAGGGAAGAACAAAUGUGUAAUUAACCACGCACGGCUUGACGGUACCGAAUAAGAAAGCCACGGCUAACUACGUG
rnacentral:rRNA from 1 species